GGAAAGAUGAAAAGAACUUUGAAAAGAGAGUUAAACAGUACGUGAAAUUGUUGAAAGGGAAACGAUUGAAGUCAGGCGUGCUGGCGCGAAAUCAACCCUCUCGUCGAGAGGUCACAUGGCGUGGCGAGCCUCAAAACCGUCACGAAGCGUGAACUCUUGGCGAAAAGGAGCACUUUCGUGUCCGCUGGUUAACAUCAAUUUCGAACGUCAUAAAAAGGCUGGAGGGAUGUGGCUCCUUCGGGAGUGUUAUAACCUUUAGCGGAAUGUGGUGGUCGGGAUUGAGGAUUGCAACGAAUACCUUUAGGGCUGUUCCACCUGGCUUCUCUUUGGUAUCCUGGUGAAGACAGCUUGCUGACUUUGUUAGGAUUCGCCUUUGAACAGGCUAGAGUGUGAGCAAAUUCGUUAAGGAUGUUAACGUAAUGGCUUUAAACGACCCGUCUUGAAACACGGACCA
rnacentral:rRNA from 1 species